ACGAAGCACAUACGACGGAACUCUUCGGAGGGAAGAUGUAUGUGACUGAGUGGCGGACGGGUGAGUAACGCGUGGGUAACCUGCCCUAUACAGGGGGACAACAGUUGGAAACGACUGCUAAUACCGCAUAAGCGCACAGUACCGCAUGGUACAGAGCGAAAAACUCCGGUGGUAUAGGAUGGGCCCGCGUCUGAUUAGUUAGUUGGCGGUGUAACGGACCACCAAGACGACGAUCAGUAGCCGGCUUGAGAGAGUGAACGGCCACAUUGGGACUGAGACACGGCCCAAACUCCUACGGGAGGCAGCAGUGGGGAAUAUUGCACAAUGGGGGAAACCCUGAUGCAGCAACGCCGCGUGAGUGAAGAAGUAUUUCGGUAUGUAAAGCUCUAUCAGCAGGGAAGAAAAUGACGGUACCUGACUAAGAAGCCCCGGCUAACUACGUGCCAGCAGCCGCGGUAAUACGUAGGGGGCAAGCGUUAUCCGGAUUUACUGGGUGUAAAGGGAGCGCAGGCGGUCUGGCAAGUCUGAUGUGAAAUCCCGGGGCUCA
rnacentral:rRNA from 1 species